AUAUAUAAACAUACCUUUAGUGAUUGUUCACCAAUAGAUGGCAGCACACGUUUUGUAAACAUACCUACCGUUUUGAGCCUACAUUGAGUGUAUUGGACACGGGGAUUUUUGAAGCCAUCUUUGUGUA